UUUUGGACAAUGGGCGCAAGCCUGAUCCAGCAAUGCCGCGUGAGUGAAGAAGGCCUUCGGGUUGUAAAGCUCUUUUGUCAGGGAAGAAACGGUGAGCUCUAAUACAGUUUGCUAAUGACGGUACCUGAAGAAUAAGCACCGGCUAACUACGUGCCAGCAGCCGCGGUAAUACGUAGGGUGCAAGCGUUAAUCGGAAUUACUGGGCGUAAAGCGUGCGCAGGCGGUUAUGUAAGUCAGAUGUGAAAUCCCCGGGCUCAACCUGGGAAUGGCAUUUGAGACUGCAUGGCUAGAGUGUGUCAGAGGGGGGUAGAAUUCCACGUGUAGCAGUGAAAUGCGUAGAGGUGUGGAGGAAUACCGAUGGCGAAGGCAGCCCCCUGGGAUAACACUACGCUCAGCACGAA
rnacentral:rRNA from 1 species